rnacentral:sRNA from 1 species
CACGUAAAGGGACAGAGAUUGGGGGACAGAAGGAAGUGCAUUAAUUCCUUCCACGACCCCUGAAGAGCAGCGGUGGGUCUGAGCAUGCUAUCUCCAUGAAGCAGGCCAGCAGGCAAGCCAGCUGCCACCUCGUCCUGUGCAAAGCACAGGCACCGUCCCCAAAAGAUUUCCAAAGAUGAUGUUAAACCCAGCCAUGGUUCUCAUCUCCAGGAAAGCAAUUGCUGUGGUACAAAAGGACAAGGGUUAAAAGAGAACAGUGGGAGCUCUCUUUCCCAACUAACUCCAGGUGUGACGCAGAGGCUUUCAGCACAGGCCAGGGUGCCCGGGACUGAAAACUCCUUCACCAACCCCUCCACAGACAGAGUCUUACACUGUUACCCAGGCUGGAGUGCAGUGGUGUGAUCUCGGCUCACUGCAAACUCCGCCUCCCAGUGUGUUAGCCAGGAUAGUCUCAGUCUCCUGACCUUGUGACCACCUGCCUCAGCCUCCCAAAGCACUGGGAUUACAGGCGUGAGCCACCGCGCCAGGCCUAUUUAAGCUGAUUCUUUAAGG